rnacentral:rRNA from 1 species
GAUGAACGCUAGCGGCAGGCCUAACACAUGCAAGUCGAGGGAGAAGCCCUUUCGGGGGCCGAAACCGGCGCACGGGUGCGUAACGCGUAUGCAACCUACCUUUCACAGGGGGAUAGCCCGAAGAAAUUUGGAUUAAUACCCCAUAAUAUUAUUGGAUGGCAUCAUUUGAUAAUUAAAACUGCGGUGGUGAAAGAUGGGCAUGCGUCCUAUUAGCUAGUUGGAGUGGUAACGGCACCCCAAGGCUACGAUAGGUAGGGGUCCUGAGAGGGAGAUCCCCCACACUGGUACUGAGACAGGGACCAGACUCCUACGGGAGGCAGCAGUGAGGAAUAUUGGUCAAUGGUCGGUAGACUGAACCAGCCAUGCCGCGUGCAGGAAGAAUGCCUUAUGGGUUGUAAACUGCUUUUAUAUGGGAAGAAUAAGGCGUACGUGUACGUUGAUGACGGUACCAUAUGAAUAAGCAUCGGCUAACUCCGUG